rnacentral:rRNA from 1 species
AGGGCACCACCAGGAGUGGAGCCUGCGGCUUAAUUUGACUCAACGCGGGGAAACUCACCCGGCCCGGACACCGUAAGGAUUGACAGAUUGAGAGCUCUUUCUUGAUUCGGUGGGUGGUGGUGCAUGGCCGUUCUUAGUUGGUGGAGCGAUUUGUCUGGCUAAUUCCGAUAACGAACGAGACUCUAGCCUACUAAAUAGUUGCUGAAUUUCUGGUUCAGCAUACUUCUUAGAGGGACAAGGGGUAUCUAGCCCCACGAGAUUGAGCAAUAACAGGUCUGUGAUGCCCUUAGAUGUCCGGGGCUGCACGCGCGCUACACUGAAGGAGCCAGCGUGCUUUGUACCUUGUCUGAAAAGACCGGGUAACCCAAUCAAACUCCUUCGUGAUUGGGAUAGGGAAUUGUAAUUAUUUCCCUUGAACGAGGAAUUCCUAGUAAGUGCGGGUCAUCAUCUCGCGUUGAUUACGUCCCUGCCCUUUGUACACACCGCCCGUCGCUACUACCGAUUGGAUGAUCUAGUGAG